UGACUUUGGUGCAGUGACAUUACGAAAGGAUCGUUGCAUAGAAUGUUAGAAUCUAGCAUAUUCUAUAAGUAGCAAGAAUUUGAUAUUCUUUCACUUAUGAAAAAGGAUUUGGAGUUGUGAAAUGAGAAUGAUUGGAAAUGUGUUCAAUUUGAUCUAUUUCACAAAGUAAGAACCAUAGGUAAACAUUGUGUGCAUGCUAGGAGCAUGGGACAAGUGUAAUAAUUCAAGUAAGAAGUUGAUUACCCGAAACGACAAAUAAUGAGUAAUCGAUAUGGUGAUAAAUAAAAGGUGUUUUAUUUAUACUCAAAGGUUUGAGGCCAUAUGGGAUUAGUAUUAUUCUUGUGUUUCACAUUUGCAUGUUUUGACUUCCAGAAUAAUUGAGUUUAUUAAGAAUAAUCGAAUUAUUCGAACGGGCCACAGUCGUUCAUAUGUUGGAAGUAGAUAUGAAUGAAGACUGUCGUGAAUUGGUGUGUGGAUUGUCUAAAAGAGUAUUAGACAUAAGCAAAUGUUUGCUGCAACGUUCAUGAGUGCUUAUGAAUAUGAUUUGAGCAUUGGAUUAAACCCACGCUCACUUGGAUCACUCCAUGAAUUGUAUCACGAGUGAUUGGUGAGACGAUAACAUCUUAUAUUCUUGAAACCGAGAUGUGUGAGUUGUAUCUUGCAAAUCGGUUGCACAUUGAUAAUAUGUAAACGCACUAGUAACUUGGUGUUAUAAAACAUAUUGUUGUGUGUGAUUCGGUGAGUGAGUGCAAGCAAGCAUUGUAUCAAAGUUUAUCCGUUCCUUUUAUCCAAAGUAGGAUAAAAGCGAUAUCUUUGGGCCCCUCGAUGAUUUAGUGAUGACAAACGUAAAUGCUCGGCCGGGCUAGGGCUAAUUUGAUUUGUUCAAUUAGUCAGUCGUCAUAAAUCGGGAAUCGAGAUAUAGUACAAAGAGAAUGAUUUGAAAUCAUAUCUCAUAUGAUAUCUAGAAUGGAGGAAUAUAUGAUCCCUUAUCUAAGGACACGCGUAUCUGAUAGGAUCAGAGUUGACAGCGGCUUUGGAAAGCUACGAUUGCAGAUCAGGAUCUGAAGUCAUACGCAUAAUAGUUAUUAGACUUAUCCAAGUGGGAGACUGUUGGAUUAGUGUCUAAGUCCAUAACUAUUUUGGUAUGUACUUGACCCGAUGGUGCAUGGUCCUUUUGGGUUGCCUUCACCAAAGCAACUUGAUAGGAUGAAUUAUGGAGAGAAAGGAUUAAAUAUGAUUUAUUAAUAUAUUAUGAGAAUAAUAUAUUAAAGGAGAAAUCAUAUUGUUUAAUUAAUAUUAGUCAAUAAUUAAUUGGUAAUUAGUUUUGUGACUAAAAGAGAUUAAUUAAACUUAAGGGACUGGAAUUGUAAUUAUAAGAUAAUUGCAAUUUGGGCCAUGGAUUGCCUUAUAUUAUAAGGUGGACGAAUUCUAUGGGGGAAGCCCAUAUGAAAUCGUCCAAGGCCUUAAGGAAAGGGCUCCAUGGGUUGCUUAGGGCUUAAGCAUCCAAAUUAGGGUUUCCUUGUUAGAUAACCCUAAUUGCCUCACUAUAUAUAGAUCCCUUAAGGACCAAAAACGUGGCUAAGCUUCUUGCUAGGGUUUUCACACGGUUUUGGCAGCCUCCAUCCUCUCUCCUCUUCAUCCUCUUGCUUAUGGUGUUUGUGAACCAUUAGAGGAGUGACACUUGUGACUCUAAGCCUUCCAAAGUCAAUUCAAGGAGGAAUUGGGAUUGUUAUUGCUACAUAACAAUCAAGGUAAUAUCAUAAACCUAAUUAUAUGUUAAUAUUGAUUUCCAUAUGCUAGAAUUAGGGUUUAUAGUCUUGGAUUCAAAGCAUGUACAAUAGAGAAACCUAGAUCCAAGCAUUAGGGUUUGUAUGAGCACAUAGGAUGUCUUAUGACCAAAACCCAUCAGUGGUAUCAGAGCCUAGAUUGGUUUCUAUUGUAUUGAUGCUUGAUAUGUUUGAAAAAUUCGAUUUUUUGGUUUCUGGAGGCUGGACUCGCCGAGUCCAUGCAGACUCGACGAGUCCAAGCUUGACUCGACGAGUCAACUCGUCAGAUGGAGCAUAUCUCGGGAUUUCUUGCUGUUUUUGCUUUGGGAUAGUUACCUUAUCAUAUUAGAUCAAUAUAAAUCCGAUUUUAUGAUAUAUUUGACUAUAUUCUUGAUCUAAUUGAAGAUAUUUAUCAAUUAAUAAGAUAAUUGUUUCCUUAUGUGAUAAUUGAUUAAUUAUUUUGACUAAAUUGAUAAAUUGUUUUGCAAGAAAUCAUUAAAUAAAUCAAAUAUGGAUAAUUAUGUGAUUAAAUGUUAAUUUAGAUUAUUUGUUAUUUGAUCCUUGUUGUUAUGAAAAGUUUCAUAUUUUCCCCUUAGGUUUUAUAGUUUAAAUUUGAACCCAAAAGUUUUGUUGUUUUGAAAUUUAAAUAGUUAAAACCCUAAUGUUUUGAAAAAGGUUUCAAAACUUGCCCUCAAGUUUUGGAAUUUAAAUUUUGAUUAAAUGGUUUAAUUUUGAUGUAUAUUUAAAUUCUAAACCCUAAUGUGUUGAAAUGUUUCAAAACUUGCCCUCAAGUUUUGGAAUUUAAAAGUUGAUUAAAAGUUUAAUUAGGAAUGUUAAAUUCUAAAACUCUAGUAUAGUUUUGAAAAAGUUCAAAUCACACCCUUAUGGUUUUAUUAAUUAAUUAAGGUGUAUAAUUAAAAGAGGUUUAAUAAAUCCAUAAAAGUUUAGGUUUACAAUUUAAUUGAAUUAAAAGUAUAAUUGUUAAAUUAGACCACCUAGUAUUUUAAAAGUGUAAAAUACACCCUAUACUAUAUAUAACAUUAAAAGUCUAACAUUAUAUAUAUGUAUGAGUAAAAGUCAGUCUUACCGUUAGUAGGCCUCAUUCACGAAGCUGGUCUAUAAGGGGUGUUUAAGGAAAUUGCCUAUAAAAUGGCGAUUGAAUGGGUAUCCACUCUUACCCACCGCACUCUUGACUAGUGGAGGGUCGUUAGCCGAACGGGUAGGAUAGGACGAAACCUUCCAUUAUAAGUAUAAUGAAUUAUUAAAGUAACUAAAUGUUUUCAUAAAAUUCCCAAUCUUAGUUACUUAGGCAAAAGUGAAUUGAUGCAAUUCCAUGAAAUUACACUUUGUGCCCUUGCGAAGACGUUAGUGGAGCGUGUGUGGUUUACCGGCACACUAAAUGGUUCUAAGCAAAGGUAGCAAAGGGUGACUCAAUGUUUGUCAUAGUUCGGUGGAGCGUGUGUGGUUUACCGGCACAUCGAAUAGGUGACUGUAACAUGUGAGGGCACCAUGUAAGUUUGCAUGGUUAUUCACACCCGCUUUGUGAUCCUCGGCAUCCCAGUCACAAACAAGAGGGGCAUAUCGAGAUUUAAACAUGCCAUUGAAAGUUCAAUGAAUCUCAAAGGAUCUAGGAGUUUUCAUAGAUUUAAAACUUAAAUUUCUUUUUCGUUUUUCAUGGUGGAAAUUAGUGAAUCGUCAUUCACUUACCUUCAAAUAUUCUGCAAUUAGGGUUACGGCAUCCCUCUCCCGAGUUGUAGAAUAUUGUGUUGGGUCCUAGCCUUAGUAUCUCAUUUGGGUGAUUUACUAAGGACUCAAUCAAUCAACUAACUUGAAUUCGUUUUCUCCCGUUUUGUAGAUGUCAAAGUUCGACAACUAUGGUCUUCCCAAAUCCCGUGGAACAAGCAUUCCACAUGAAGAUGAUAUUCCACGAUUCGAUCGAGGAACAAGAAAUCAUGCUUCACUUCCUCCUCCUCCUCCAAUUAUUCUCCCUAACCCACAAGUUCAAAGGCUUGAAAAGUUCAAGAUCACUCAAGCCCUUUUGGCAAGUAAACAUAAAGAAGGAAAGUCGGUGUGUGCACACGUCCUAGGGAUGAAGUCACACAUUGAUAGGUUAAGAAUGUUGGGAUCCGUUGUCUGUGAGGAAAUGGCUGUUGAUUGGGUUCUUCAGUCACUUCCUAACUCAUAUAGUGAGUUCGUAAGAGAGUACUAUAUGAUGAACCGCGACGUGACCCUUAUAGAUCUCACCUAUAUGCUUAUUGCUGCUGAAUCAGCAAUGGUUUGGCGCAAUAGAAAAGCAAAGUUGAUUGGUGAAUCUGCCUUCAAGACCUCUAUGGAUAUAGACAAUGGCAACGAAAGACAUGCUAUGAUCGAAAAGUUUGAUCAUAAGAGAAAGGCAAUGUCUGAAGUAGUUCCAUGUCAUGUUCCAAAAGAGUCAAUUUGCUUUUAUUGCCAAGAGAAAGGGCAUUGGAGACGAAGCUGCCCCAUUUACCUAAGAGAUCUAAGAGAUGGGAGAGUCGAAACGUAUGGCUCUAAUAUAGGUAAAAUCCAUUAACUAACUCUUUUAAGCUUCUAUUCUAGAUUCUUAAUACAUAAUGUGAUAAGAUUACAAUUGAUGUUUUGUAGGAUCGAAGAAAAGAAAGGAAGCUUAAGGGAAGAAGUGAGCAGAAUCUAACCGUGAAGGAAUGGAUUUCGAUCGCAUUUCUCGAAGAUUAGAUUCUUGAGCUACUACUUAGAGUUAGAAUUAGAUUGCUAAGAAAGAUGUAUUAGCAUAGUUUUUCAAUGAAUUGCAUUGUAAGGACAAAUUUUUCCCCAAUAAAAUAAAUUUUGAUUUUAUAUUAUUUAUUUAUCCUUGCAAUGGCGUAUAUGAAAAAUUGAUGUUUGAAUGUUUCUAUUAUUAGCAAUAAUGGAUUUGGUUCUUAUUAUGUUAUUUAUGGAAAGUCGAGAGUUUACCAAAUAGGGAGAGUUUCUCAUCGCCCAAGUUUCAAUUGGACAGAAACUUGGAAUCAUGCAACUUGGUUGCACGAUGAAUGAGAAAUUUCAUAUUUGGAAAUUAGACUAAUUCAUUGACAAAGUGUCAAGUGAAGGACUAGGAGAUCGAGUACACAAAGUUGCGUGUUGAUCAAGUCCACCAUAAGAGUAACAAAGAUAUUCGUCAUGAUUUACUAAAGGUUUAGUAAAUAUGAUUAUACUUAUAAGAUUAAGUGUAAUUCUGAAUUGAUUGAAAAGGUUUAAAUCAAUAGCAGAACGAAUAAGAAGAAUCAAGUAGGCAGAAAGAUAAAAGUUUCUCCAUUCUAAGAAGAAGGGAGAGUACCUUUUAUGCUUUAUGAUAGGUCUUAAUGAUUAAGAACCAUAUCUCAAUUGAUCCUCUAAGUGAGUCUUAGUACAAUUGUAUGUCUAAGAAGAGGAAUCAAGAAUUGAAGAAAUGGUUAAAUCAAGAAGUCAAUCAUACUUCGUUCCAAAACAAGUCUUAGAGUUAAGAUUGUGACAUUGAGUGAUAAGUAUUAAGAAGGUUUAUAACAUUCAUCAAAUGUGGAAAGUUGUGAUGUCUUGGAUAAGACAAAGACCAACUAGGACCAAUUUAUGAAGUGUUUUGAUAAAAGCUACACUAACUCUUGAAUAUUUGUUUGUCAAGAAAUGUUUAUUGACAAGAGAAUCUUAUAUGUCAAGGAGUCAGUGGGAGUCUUAAUGGUCUUGAAAGGUUUCAAGAACAAAUCAAAUAAACCUUAUCGAUCAUCACUAGCACACGAGUUGAGGUUUACAACCUAUCGUGUUGACAUUAUUUUGUUUCUGUGCCAAUCCAAUCGAGUUAAUUAUGCAUGUGAGUUCUAUGAGUUCUCAUUUUGAACGCAUAAAAGGCAAAGCACCUUAAUCAAUGAAAGGUACAUUGAUAGGAAAGGGUGAGCUGCUUAACUACUUGGAAGACAUGGUGGGCAGCUGUGCUACCAUAAGGCAAGAAAUCAAGAUUAAGAAAGUUCGGUCCAUAUGAGUUUGAAUUUGUCGUAAACUUUGGUUUUAACAAAUUCACAUGGAUAGGAACACAUACACCGUUUAAAUCUAAGUGUCAUAAGAUUUCCUCCUUCAUGAAAAUGAUUGUGAGGAAAUGCUUUCACUAAGAAAGAUUUUAAGAAGAUAGUGAUUGUAAAAUUGCAUUCUCGAAUUCGAUUAUGGUUACGGUAUCCCUUUCCAUAAUUUGAAUUGUGAGGUUUGGCAAUUAGUCUUAAUUGUUUAGACACACAUAUGAACUAUCGAAGGCAAAGGUGUAUAAGUUCAAGAAGCAUUGAUAAAGGAUUAUCAAAGCACUAAGUAUUAGAAACAUGAACUUAAGAAAUUCAAUAAGUAUUGUUUUUCUGAAAGUUAAGAUGUUUAUGAAUACAUGUCGAAGCUAGUGGGAGCAUAAGUGUUAUGUUUUAUAAUAAUCAUCAUGAUAGUGGGAGCAUAAAUGUUAUGAUUGUAUGAUUAUUAAGGCACGUAUUGCAAGUUGGCAAUAUUAAUUAUAGAAAACAAGAGUUAUACCUUGCAAAGUCGUAAGGGUUGUAAAGUUGUUUUGCUAUAAUUAAGGGAGAGAAUAUUAUGCUUCAUUUCAAAUCUAAAGGAUUAGGUUGAGAAAUGUUAAUAAAUUUAGUCAAAGGUACAUAGUGUGUUCUUAAAAUUUCGAUUAUGAUUACGGCAUUCCUCUUCACAAUUCGAAUUUUGAGAACAUAGCAAAUAAAACAUUAUGCGUCGUGUCCCAUACGCUUCGGGUAUAGGAUCGAUUGCAAAUGCUUUAAUGUUUGACCAUUCUAAAAUUUUCCAAAUGUCGAGCGCAUUUAGAGGGAAAAGGGACUAGAAUUGGUUUUGACUAAAAUAAUUAAACAACUAUCAAAGGACAAUCCAAAGUUCGACGAGGAUUGGUCGCUUGUGAGUAGUUGGAAGCAUGGUAUUGGAUGGACCAUAUCGACAUUAUUAUGAAUAGAAAAGAUUCUAUUAAGAAUGAGUUGUCAUAUGGAAAUUAUGGAAAUGUUUCCAUAUUGGAUGGACCAUAUCGACAUCAUUACGAAUAGAUAAGAUUCUAUUAAGAAUGAGUUGUCAUAUGGAAAAUAUGGAAGCGUGUCCAUAUUGGGAAUUGAAUAUUGAAAAUCUAUGUCUAGAUUAGAAACUUUUAUGCAAAAGGAUGUUCAAAGGAAUGUACUUUGAGUGAGAGACAUCAUAUCUAAGGAAUUGUCUUGUAACAAUCUCCGAUAGAGGACUUUGUAAUAUCAUUGGCAAUAGUCUUUGUGACUUUGGUGCAGUGACAUUACGAAAGGAUCAUUGCAUAGAAUGUUAGAAUCUAGCAUAUUCUAUAAGUAGCAAGAAUUUGAUAUUCUUUCACUUAUGGAAAAGGGAUUUGGAGUUGUGAAAUGAGAAUGAUUGGAAAUGUGUUCAAUUUGAUCUAUUUCACAAAGUAAGAACCAUAGGUAAACAUUGUGUGCAUGCUAGGAGCAUGGGACAAGUGUUGUAAUUCAAGUAAGAAGUUGAUUACCCGAAACGACAAAUAAUGAGUAAUCAAUAUGGUGAUAAAUAAAAGGUGUUUUAUUUAUGCUCAAAGGGUUGAGGCCAUAUGGGAUUAGUAUUAUUCUUGUGUUUCACAUUUGCAUGUUUUGACUUCCAGAAUAAUUGAGUUUAUUAAGAAUAAUCGAAUUAUUCGAACGGGCCACAGUCGUUCAUAUGUUGGAAGUAGAUAUGAAUGAAGACUGUCGUGAAUUGGUGUG
rnacentral:lncRNA from 1 species